rnacentral:lncRNA from 1 species
UGUGAAUUAAAGAGUUGAAAAUAGUUAAGUGUAUGUGUUUUGAAAAUGGUUAAGUAUAGUGAUCUGAAAUGUCAAUUAGCUAUUUGAAAAUGGUUUGAGUAUAGUGACUUGAAAUGUGAAUAAGUUAUUUGAAAAUUAUUAAGUGUAGUGACUUGAAAAUAAUUAAAUGUAGUUUCUUGAACUUGUAAACUUGUGACUUGAAAACGGUUAAGUGUAGUUACUUGAAAUUGUGAACUUGUGACUUGAAAAUGGUUAAGUGUAGUCACUUGAAAUGUGUACUAAUAACUUGAAAAUAAUAAAGUAUAGUUACUUGAAAAUGAUUAAGUAUAGUUACGUGAAAUUGAUUAAGUAUAGUGACUUGAAAUGUGAAUUAGUUAAUUUAAAAUAGUUAAGUUUAGUGAUUUGAAAUGUGUACUAGCGACUUGAAAAUGUUAUAAGUGUAGUGACUUGUGAUGUGAAUUAGUUAUUUGAAAAUGGUUAAGUGUAGUGACUUGAAGUGUUUAGUGGUGACUUUAAAAUAGUUAAGUGUAGUUACUUGAAAUGUGAAUUACUCACUUGAAAAUGGUUUAAGUGUAGUCAUUUGAAAUUGUGAACUUGUGACUUGAAAAUAAUUAAGUGUAGUUACUUGAAAUGUAUACUUGUGACUUUAAAAUGGUUUAAGUGUAGUGACUUGAAAAGUAUACUAGUGACUUUAAAAUGGUUAAGUACAGUCAUUUGAAAUUGUGACCUUGUGAACUUGUGACUUGAAGAUGAUUAAGUGUAGUUACUUGAAAUGUAUACUUGUGACUUUAAAAUGGUUAAGUGUAGUGGCUUGAAAUGUGUACUUGUGACUAGAAAAUGGUUAAGUGUAGUCACUUGAAAUGUAAACUAAGUUACUUGAAAUUAUGAACUUGUGACUUGAAAAUAAUUAAAUGUGGUGUCUUAAAAUGUAUAGUAGUGAUUUUAGAAUGAUUAAGUGUAGUUGUAACGCUUUGAAUCUGGUACCCAAAAUGCUACACGGUGCUCAUGACCCCGAAGGACCACAAGCUAACCCAUGUCUGAUAUCUGUAACUGGGCACUGCAUAAAAUACUAUAUAAAUGUGGAAAAAGGCUGAAAGGCCAUAGGUUCAAAUAUCUGAUAAAACAUAACAUCUGGAAAUACGGUAUAUCAAUACCAAAAUAAAACUGAAAUAAUUGUCUGAACAUACUAUAGUUUGGAAGACUCUAAAACUAACUGAAUAAGGAGUUGAUGGGGCAUGUCUCCAACUAACCCCAACUACUGAAAUAAACUAAGUACUAAAAGAAUGAAAUAAUCAAAUAAUAACAACCUUGAAUGAUGAAGACUCACUGCUAGUCUGACUGUUGAAACUGGAAUACUACUGAUGCUCUGGAGCUCGUGCUUCUGAACCUAUAGUAUAAAACAUCAUAGCGCAAAUGCGUCAGUACGAUUGAAUGUACUGGUAUGCAAGUGAGGUAGGCUGAAUGCAAGGGUUCAUAUGCAUGAACAAUACUGACUGACUAAGUAACAUGAACAUGAGAAUACAUGCAUGAAUAUAUGAAUGGUAACUGGGAUCAUGACAUCACUGAAUGUGAAUACUGAUAACAUUCAUUUUCGUAUAACUGAUAUACUAUUAUCUGAAUGAUUGUGUCUGACAGUCUUAUUUCUGUUGAAACUAGCUGAGUUCUGUACUGAACUGGAUGACUGUAUCUGACAGUCUUGAAUUCUAUAAAACUAUCUGAGUUUUAUUACUCAAACUGUAACUAUGGGAAGUAGUCAUCUAACCGACAUGCCCCAAAUGAUAUAAUAUAAUUGAGUUGGGGUCCAAUCUGUAACCCCAAUUGGAAGGGUGUCAAUAUCGCGCCACUGGUAAGGACAAGCUGUAAGUAAUCCCUCCUCUAAUAGGUACUUUAAGGAGAAUGGUGAGACCCUCAUAUAACAGGUUAAUCCACCUCAUCUAUCCUCAUCUAGCAGGUUUGAUGUCUCAACCUACACCAGCUAUGUAGCUCUGGAGCGCAAGGAUUGCUUUUAAGAAUCACACCCUCUACUCGUAGGUGAGUUCCCAUCCUUGGGCUCACUCGAUAUUGAAUCCUACUCCCAUCUGAUUAGACACUGAAUUAAUUAUACUAAACUGACUGAACUGAGAUAACUAAGUUCCGUUAACUGACAGAAUAUUACUGAGAUUUGAUAACUGACUGAGAUUACUGAGUUUUCCUGAGUCAUGAGACUGACUGAAUUCUACUGAACAUGGCUUGCCUAAGAGUAUCUUGAAAACUGACACUGGCUCUAGGUACACAACUAAAUUAUCGGGUACAAUACCCCCAGGACUCGAUAGCAUGAAACUAACAAGACAUGACACUUCUUGACAGAUAACCAUAGUCAACAAUUCAUAGUACAAUCAUUGAGGAUUUUCAUGAAGUAUUCGCAUGCUAUAAGCUUACACGUGAAUAGGAAUGCAUGUAAACAUAUCAUAAUUUUAUAAGCCUAAUCUCAUGAGCAUUACGUUAAUCUAUUACAAAGCAUAACAAUAACGUGGGAGUCAUAUCAAACAUAAGGGAGAAACAUGGAUUCAUCAAUUUUGGUCACAAAUGAGUCAUAAGGCAAAAUUCCUAUUCCCUUAGGCAUUUUAUCAAACACCUUGCAUGCAUAUCUUUAGGCUUAGGCAUGAAUAUUGAAAUAAUACUUCAUGGCAAUAUUUUACACUUCCAAUGCAAGAAUUUCAACAAAUACUAACAUAUUUUCAUGAUAGUCAUUAAAGACUUCAACUUGGAAAUCAAACAACAACAUAAACAUGGAUAUAAUUUAAUUCAUACCAUGGAAUCCAAAGUUUAUAUUUCAAAUAGGGUUUCUUGAGCUUCAUGGGUGAAAGGAACCCAUGAAUCAAUACUUGACAUAUCUGAGUGGAUGAUUUCUUUAAGAUUGGUGGAGAAAAACUUGAAUUCUUGCCUUAGGAUUAGACACCUAGGGUUUCUUGUUCUUGGGGAUUGAUCUUUGAGAGAAACCCUAAUUUGGUGUUAUGGAUGAAUAAAGAAGGUAUGAGCUUUGGUAUGGUAUAAUUAGGGGUUAAAACAGGUGAAAAAAGACCCAAAUAGCCUUUUAAAAAUGGCUUAAAAUUAUUGAUCGAAAGUGGCGACGAUUUGAGCGACGGUCUAUCGCUGGAUCGACGGUUCGUUGGUCCUGACCGUCGCACUUAGCCAGAACCUAAACUUUCUGCCUCGUCUGCGAUGGUUUGGGCGACGGUUCAUCGCUAGCUCGACGGUCCAUCGGUCCUGACCAUCGUACUUGAACAGAAGUCGGGUUCACUGCCUUAGUCGCGACAGCUUGGGCGAUGGUCCAUCGGCCUGACCGUCGCUUCUGGGCAGUUCCGACAGUUCUCUGUAAAAUAUCCAUAACUUUUUACUCUGAUACCGAAUUUGGACGAAAUUGGUAUCGUUGGAAAGCUAAUUAAAUUUUUCACAUGAUAAAAAGUUAAAAUUGGAGAAAUUCUAUCUAUUUUAAACAUUAACCAUUUAUAAAUUCAUCACUAACUCUUUUGAAGAUUAAAUUUAACUUAAAGAAAGUUUGGGGUAUUACAAUAUCUCUCCCUUUGGAACAUUCGUCCUCGAAUGGGACUGACUAGACUGGGAAAGCUAAUAAACUGAUCUUACUUAAGGGACGUGAACAUUUGAACAUGUCUAUAUGACUGGAACUUCUGAUAUACUGAAAUUUCAUACUGAAUAUGCAUAUCUGAUGCAUAGAUAUAUGACGGAUAGUCUUCAUGAAUGCAUGGCUGAAAUUACUGAUCAGCUGAGUUUCUCGUGAUAAGAAUGCAUAUCUGAUGCAUGAAUACGUGACUAACAUGAUACAUGAACAUAUAACUGGAUAUGCAAUGGUAUUUGAUACCAAGUUUAUAACUGAAAUCUGAACAUAAAAUUGAAUAAGCUUAAGGAAAGCUAUUACCUUGGGUUGAGUCUGAGUUUAUGGAGAAGAGGUAAGAAUACUUAGUUCGCAUGUCUGCUUUUGCUUCCCAAAUAGCUCCCUCAACAGACUAAAUUAACAUAUUCUUAUGCAAAAUGAGUUUGAAAGAAAGACACAAGAAAUACUAGUUGCUCAAAGUGCAUCAAUUGUGGAAUGGGGGUGAGAAAGGAAUUGGACUUAUUGAUGAAGCAUGUAUACAAGAAAUCAUCUUUAAAUGAUGAACGCCCAUCUCAAGAAAACAACCAAGCUUAUGAGGAUGAAAGUGAUGAUGACUUUGACGACGUGAAUGGAAGUGAUUCUAAUCCUGAUAACGUGGAUGGAAGUGAUUUUGACCCUGAUAGUUGGUAGUUUUAUUGAGGAUUUAAGUUUGAAAUAUUUUAUUUUGGACCAUUGAAGACUCAUACAUUAUUAAUGAAAAUGUUAUGAAUUUUUUUUUUUUUUGUUAGCUAUAAUGGUUUACAUUAGACUUGUAUUAAAUAAUAUUUUUGAGAAUUAUUGGAGGUUUUAAAUAAAUUUUUGACCAAUUAUGAAAUAUUUUUAGUAAUUUACGUGUGGAUUAUUACUUGAAAAUUUUCAUGGGGAUGUACAUGCUAAAUAUUCAUGAAAAUUUUCUUGAGAAAAUUUGUUCUUGCGGAUUUACUUGGGGCAUUUCAUAUGAAUUUUCGUGCGAAAUAGUUUCAUAAAUAUCUGCAAGAAUUUUUUUUUAUUAAUUAGGAAUUUUUACCUCUAAACUUCCUUUGAAUUUACUUGGAAAUCUUCUUGGGGAAUAAUUUGUGAAUUUUUUCAUAGAAAUUCGCAGGUAAAAUCCCUUUGUAUGAAUUUUUACCAAAUAAUCCAUGUAAACUGGAACUUCUGAUAUACUGAAAUUUCAUACUGAAUAUGCAUAUCUGAUGCAUAGAUAUAUGACGGAUAGUCUUCAUGAAUGCAUGGCUGAAAUUACUGAUCAGCUGAGUUUCUCGUGAUAAGAAUGCAUAUCUGAUGCAUGAAUACGUGACUAACAUGAUACAUGAACAUAUAACUGGAUAUGCAAUGGUAUUUGAUACCAAGUUUAUAACUGAAAUCUGAACAUAAAAUUGAAUAAGCUUAAGGAAAGCUAUUACCUUGGGUUGAGUCUGAGUUUAUGGAGAAGAGGUAAGAAUACUUAGUUCGCAUGUCUGCUUUUGCUUCCCAAAUAGCUCCCUCAACAGACUAAAUUAACAUAUUCUUAUGCAAAAUGAGUUUGAAAGAAAGACACAAGAAAUACUAGUUGCUCAAAGUGCAUCAAUUGUGGAAUGGGGGUGAGAAAGGAAUUGGACUUAUUGAUGAAGCAUGUAUACAAGAAAUCAUCUUUAAAUGAUGAACGCCCAUCUCAAGAAAACAACCAAGCUUAUGAGGAUGAAAGUGAUGAUGACUUUGACGACGUGAAUGGAAGUGAUUCUAAUCCUGAUAACGUGGAUGGAAGUGAUUUUGACCCUGAUAGUUGGUAGUUUUAUUGAGGAUUUAAGUUUGAAAUAUUUUAUUUUGGACCAUUGAAGACUCAUACAUUAUUAAUGAAAAUGUUAUGAAUUUUUUUUUUUUUUGUUAGCUAUAAUGGUUUACAUUAGACUUGUAUUAAAUAAUAUUUUUGAGAAUUAUUGGAGGUUUUAAAUAAAUUUUUGACCAAUUAUGAAAUAUUUUUAGUAAUUUACGUGUGGAUUAUUACUUGAAAAUUUUCAUGGGGAUGUACAUGCUAAAUAUUCAUGAAAAUUUUCUUGAGAAAAUUUGUUCUUGCGGAUUUACUUGGGGCAUUUCAUAUGAAUUUUCGUGCGAAAUAGUUUCAUAAAUAUCUGCAAGAAUUUUUUUUUAUUAAUUAGGAAUUUUUACCUCUAAACUUCCUUUGAAUUUACUUGGAAAUCUUCUUGGGGA